rnacentral:misc_RNA from 1 species
AGAAAAAAGAGGGAUUUCCUUCUUUGCAAUAUGAUGUAGCAGUUCAGACAAAAGAGAUAUCCCUCUGCAUUUUUCAAAAUACAAAUGAUGACAACAGUUUCACUUAACAAAGAGCCAAAUCUCAGUAGAACAUUUCCAUCUCCCUUACCCCAAAAUGAGUAGAUUGUUUUCUCAAGUCAUGGCUGAAACCUAAAACUGAAUGUUUACCAAGUCCCUCACAGUGUAUUGAAUCGCCCCAAAAAAGGCUGAACUAUAAUAUAAAUACAUGGAUGGCAUUACUUUGCUGAUCUAACACCCUCCCACUUGAUCUCUUGAGCACACUCCCCGCAAACGGUGCUGCAACCCCACUUUGUGCCUUGACUUCUAAGAGUAAGCAAAUGUGAUAGCUUUGUGCACUUCCUAUGCACCAAACGGCAUCUAGAACUCCCCACUGCAAAUACAAGAUUACGGUCCGCUGGCGGAAAAACGGUGGCCCUGGGAACAAAUGGCUUUUGCUUUAACAAUGAUUCAGUGGUAGAGAUAUGCUGCUGUUCAACAGGUUCAUCAGGCAAAACUCUCCUCUCUUCCCAUUCAAUAGAUCUCCGAUACACUUCCCACGCCAUUUCCUGCUCUUCUUUUGAUAGCUUUUCAUCUUCAUUCUCUUGCAGGAGACUUUCAUGUUCAUGAUAAUUCGCAAUCCACCGAGGAUGAUGCCUGUCAAUCAAACUUUGCAUUAGCUUGUCAGAAGAAGAACUUCCAUUUGGAAAGGUUAAUUUUUGUUUCUGAACACUUCCAACAUUUACAUUUGAGUUUGCUUCACCAGCAUGUUCUCUAACUUGCUUCAAUUCCAGAGGUAUAUCACAGCUUUCGUCAUCUCCGAAUUCAAAAAGGUGCAACAUUUCCUCUUUAGAUAUAGUUCUAUGUACUUGUUGCCUAUCAACCACCCGUGCUGCAAGACCUUCCUUUGUUACCUGGCGCUUGUAUAUCUUUUCCUCCAUCGUUCCAUGUGCCAGUAAACGGUAAGCAAAAACAGGUUUUGUUUGACCAUACCUCCAAGCUCGGUAUAUAGCUUGAAGAUCAUGAGUAGGAUUCCAAGAGCCAUCAACUAUAAUUACACGGUUGGCAGCAUAAAGAUUGAUACCAAGAGAUCCAGCUCUAGUAGAUAUCAGUACGCACUUAACCCUUCUAUUCAAUGGACUGUUAAAACAGUCAACAAGUUUCUGCCUUUCAGAUGAUUCUG